AGCAUAUCAAUAAGCGGAGGAAAAGAAACUAACAAGGAUUCCCCUAGUAACGGCGAGUGAAGAGGGAAAAGCUCAAAUUUAAAAUCUGGCGGUCUACGGCCGUCCGAGUUGUAAUCUAGAGAAGUGUUUUCCGCGCUGGACCGUGUACAAGUCCUUUGGAACAAGGCGUCAUAGAGGGUGAGAAUCCCGUCUACGACACGGACUGCCAAGCGCUUUGUGAUACACUCUCAACGAGUCGAGUUGUUUGGGAAUGCAGCUCAAAAUGGGUGGUAAAUUCCAUCUAAAGCUAAAUAUUGGCGAAAGACCGAUAGCGAACAAGUACCGUGAGGGAAAGAUGAAAAGCACUUUGGAAAGAGAGUUAAACAGUACGUGAAAUUGUUGAAAGGGAAACGCUUGAAGUCAGUCGCGUCUUCAGAAAUUCAGCUGGGCUUCUGCCUAGUGUACUUUUCUGUGGGACGGGCCAGCAUCAGUUUUGGCUGCCAGAAAAAGGUCGGAGGAAGGUGGCACCUCCGGGUGUGUUAUAGCCUCUGAUCGUAUGUGGCAGCCGGGAUUGAGGACCGCAGCACGCCUUUAUGGCCGGGGUUCGCCCACGUAACGUGCUUAGGAUGCUGGCGUAAUGGCUUUAAACGACCCGUCUUGAAACACGGACCAAGGAGUCUAACAUGCCUGCGAGUAUUUGGGUGGCAAACCCAUAUGCGGAAUGAAAGUGAACAGUUGGGACUUCUGUCAUGGAAGGCACCGACGCCCGGACCAGACCUAUUGUGACGGAUCCGAGGUAGAGCAUGUAUGUUGGGACCCGAAAGAUGGUGAACUAUGCCUGAGUAGGGUGAAGCCAGAGGAAACUCUGGUGGAGGCUCGUAGCGAUUCUGACGUGCAAAUCGAUCGUCGAACUUGGGUAUAGGGGCGAAAGACUAAUCGAACCAUCUAGUAGCUGGUUCCUGCCGA
rnacentral:rRNA from 1 species